GUGAACAUGUUAAGAAAGUUGAAUGGAUCUUUUAUAAGCGGGGCCUUCGUGGAUGCGGAGCGUGCUUGCCGUUGGGGGGUGUCCUCACGUGUAAAGUGGAGUGGCAUUGCCACCAUAUGCAGUGGAACUUUUCAAAGGGGUCUAAUGUGUGCGAUUGAGCAGAGGCUGGACAUGGGAGCCCGGAUCCGCUCCAUUGAGGAUUUGUUGAAUAGCCCUCAGUUCCGGCCCCUUGAGGGGGAAAGAGUGGGAUGGAAUUCCCUAAGAGAACCCACUUCAGAAAUUUUUUGGGGAAAAAACUUUGG
rnacentral:lncRNA from 1 species